rnacentral:lncRNA from 1 species
GUUGUCGUGCUGGUGCUGUUACUCGCAUUGUUGUUCCGAGUAGCCUCCACGCCGCAUUUCUUUUCAUGAAUGGUUGAGGACGUGGUGCACAUAUCUCCGCACACUUUCGCCGCCAUCCAUAUUUUCACCGCCACCUCGUCUCUCUCUCUCUUUCUCUCUUUCUCUCACCACCGCCACCACCGCCAUUACAGGAUCGCCUGGGUCAGCCGGCGGGACUGCUGCCCGUGU